GGAAGGCGGUGAAGUUCAGGUGAGCUCUGGUCAAAGCUCAGCAUGGGUCAGAACACAAAUGAUGUCGCUUCGAUGUAUUGAGGAUUAAUACAUAUUCUUGGAUACAAUCCUACAGAGAACAGAGGCAUACGGAGAAACCAUCACGUCAAAUGCAAAUGACCAGGUCCUUUCCAGGUGUUUUUACCAAGGGCAGAGGCGCUUUCCUUGUUCCUGUCAAGAGACUUAAACCACUUGAUGUGGCUUUCUAUUUGUUGCCAAAGCAGUGUGAAAAAAUAAAAUAAAAAGAGGAGCAUAUAGUCCAUAUGCAUGCAGGAUUGGGCUGUAGGACUGCUCAUCUAGAUGAAAGCACAACACAUGAAGAGUUAUGUGAAGCCCUCAAAGUUUUAUUUCCAAAAUUGGGGGCUGUGACCGGUGGGUGGCUGCUAUACAAAUCUGCAGGUGGAUGGGGUAGCCGAAAACUCUCUCGUGGCUCCUGAUGAGACUGGCUAUACAGUUAUAAAUCCACCAACUUUUGCAGCUCUUAGAAUUUGAGUCAACGAGAGAAGCUUGCAAUGCAAUGCAAUGGAUGUAGUGUUCCUUACCUAGCAAGGUGACUGUUCAAAUGCUGGCGUGAGUUCAAAUGCUGGAGAGAGUACUGAAGUCACGCGCAAAAUAACCCCUCACGCUGGGGGGUCGGUAAGGAAUAAUUGAAACUCACGCGUGAAAAGGUUAAUAGGCAGCUGUUAAACAAACUGUCAGUCAGAUAUUUCUUGCCAGCCACAUCAUAAACCAUGCUAAUAUAAAGUUAGCUAAUAGCUAACAUAACGCUAGCUAGCUAACAUAACGCUGGCUAAUAGCUAACACACAUUUAACGAACGCCACCACAUUAAAAGUUCCCUGUAGACAUUGUUCAACAAAUUAUGUUAAUGUGCAACGUGUCCGGUAACUAUUACUGACUUUUACGAACACAAAAAGUAAAUAAAGAGUACACUCACCGAUGCGCCAUCAUUUGUGUUCUGAGCCAUGCUGAGCUCUGACCAGAGCUCACCUGAACUUCACCACCUUCCUGUUUCGGUGUCACAUGACCAAUGGAGCGUAACUUGAUUGGCUGGAUGUUGGAUGAUUUGAUACAGGGAUCAAUUGCUUCUCCUUGGUUACCCGGAUGUUGACUCUGACUAUUUUUACACUGAAUCUUUUGAUACAUACAUUUUUUUUACAUUAAAAUUUUUUAAACAUUGAGAAAAAAAUUCAUAGGCCAAAAAAAGUCUGUGCUAGAAAUUCGAUGGCUUUUAAAAGUCUGAUUUAGAUGCUAAAUAAAAUGUGUUAAAAACUAAAAAUUCGAAUUCAAAAUCCGAUGGCACAGAUUUACUUCCAUAGAUUUUGAUUAACGGUAAAUAAUUAUUUUAAUCGUUUGACAGCACUAGUUUUAAUCUUGCUUAUACAAGAUUUCAAUAUUGCUUACGAAUUUCACAAUAGUCAUUACAAAAUACUCCAGUCCGGUUUUUGUCCCGAACAUAGUGCUGAUACUUAACUUGUGAAGGUGUUAAAUUACGUUUUAAGACCAAGUUUCUGCUUCUGUCCUAAAGCUUCUGGACCAUGGUUCUGCCUUCGACUUCCUUCUUUUGGAGAUUGGAAACCCAAAUUGACAUACACAGACAGAUUUAUGGUCCGAUCUCACAUUGAACCUUGAGGCUUGUACAGUCAUUUACCCUCAAAAAACAGUGAGGGACCUAGGGUGUUACUCUACAACCUGAUCCUUUUUUUUUGUAAAACAUUUAAAUGUACUUCAAAAGCAUCUAUUUUCAAUAUUGCAAAACAUUUCAAAAAAUCUGAAACUUUAAAAAACAAUGCAGAAUGAGAUAGUCUUAGUGUUUCUUAUUUUAAGAUUAGACUUUUGUAAUUUUCUUCACACAACCCUGAUAAGACAAUAAAUUAGUAUUAAUUAGUGCUAAAUGCAGUCACUAGAAUCUGAACUGGAACCAAAAAAUAUCACAAUACUCCAAUACUAGCCUCUCUACACAGACUAGGUCUAACUUUAAGGGGUUACUGUUGCAAGCUGCAAAUUAUUACAUGGUCUCGCUCCUACUUACCUGUCUGAAUUGGUCCUGCCGUACAUACUUAUACAUAUGCUGCAGUGUCAAGAUGCAGGCCUCUUUACUCCUGAAUGACUCAAGCUUUAGACCUCCAUUAUUGUGGAAUGAUCUACCUACAAUAAUUAAUACAAAGUGUUUACUGAAGAUUCAUAUCAUCAGUAGGGUCUAUAACUAAUUGUAAUAUUGGUCAGGGUUCACUGGCAUGCUUGUAGUAUACCCAGGUUUUUUCCUGGCUCAGAAUGGGCCUUUGGGUGUGACUACGCACGACAGUAAGCAUGAUGGAUCCACGUACAGUAAAGGCAAUGAGUUACCUUAUGACAGAAAUCUAUGCAUUUUCUUAUUUCUGACCAUUUGAUAAAUAGAAAUGUCUAUCAUGCUUGAAUAAAUGAAACCCCAUUAACAAAACUGGUUAAAAAAUACAUGUAUUACAACAUUGGAAGGGGGAGAGGGG
ensembl:lncRNA